UGGCUUAGAAGCAGCCAUCAUUUAAAGAGUGCGUAAUAGCUCACUAGUCGAGUGACACUGCGCCGAAAAUGUACCGGGGCUAAACAUAUUACCGAAGCUGUGGAUUGUCCUUUGGACAAUGGUAGGAGAGCGUUCUAAGGGCGUUGAAGCAUGAUCGUAAGGACAUGUGGAGCGCUUAGAAGUGAGAAUGCCGGUGUGAGUAGCGAAAGACGGGUGAGAAUCCCGUCCACCGAUUGACUAAGGUUUCCAGAGGAAGGCUCGUCCGCUCUGGGUUAGUCGGGUCCUAAGCUGAGGCCGACAGGCGUAGGCGAUGGAUAACAGGUUGAUAUUCCUGUACCACCUAUAAUCGUUUUAAUCGAUGGGGGGACGCAGUAGGAUAGGCGAAGCGUGCGAUUGGAUUGCACGUCUAAGCAGUAAGGCUGAGUAUUAGGCAAAUCCGGUACUCGUUAAGGCUGAGCUGUGAUGGGGAGAAGACAUUGAGUCUUCGAGUCGUUGAUUUCACACUGCCGAGAAAAGCCUCUAGAUAGAAAAUAGGUGCCCGUACCGCAAACCGACACAGGUAGUCAAGAUGAGAAUUCUAAGGUGAGCGAGCGAACUCUCGUUAAGGAACUCGGCAAAAUGACCCCGUAACUUCGGGAGAAGGGGUGCUCUUUAGGGUUAACGCCCAGAAGAGCCGCAGUGAAUAGGCCCAAGCGACUGUUUAUCAAAAACACAGGUCUCUGCUAAACCGUAAGGUGAUGUAUAGGGGCUGACGCCUGCCCGGUGCUGGAAGGUUAAGAGGAGUGGUUAGCUUCUGCGAAGCUACGAAUCGAAGCCCCAGUAAACGGCGGCCGUAACUAUAACGGUCCUAAGGUAGCGAAAUUCCUUGUCGGGUAAGUUCCGACCCGCACGAAAGGCGUAACGAUUUGGGCACUGUCUCAACGAGAGACUCGGUGAAAUCAUAGUACCUGUGAAGAUGCAGGUUACCCGCGACAGGACGGAAAGACCCCGUGGAGCUUUACUGUAGCCUGAUAUUGAAAUUCGGCACAGCUUGUACAGGAUAGGUAGGAGCCUUUGAAACGUGAGCGCUAGCUUACGUGGAGGCGCUGGUGGGAUACUACCCUAGCUGUGUUGGCUUUCUAACCCGCACCACUUAUCGUGGUGGGAGACAGUGUCAGGCGGGCAGUUUGACUGGGGCGGUCGCCUCCUAAAAGGUAACGGAGGCGCUCAAAGGUUCCCUCAGAAUGGUUGGAAAUCAUUCAUAGAGUGUAAAGGCAUAAGGGAGCUUGACUGCGAGACCUACAAGUCGAGCAGGGUCGAAAGACGGACUUAGUGAUCCGGUGGUUCCGCAUGGAAGGGCCAUCGCUCAACGGAUAAAAGCUACCCCGGGGAUAACAGGCUUAUCUCCCCCAAGAGUUCACAUCGACGGGGAGGUUUGGCACCUCGAUGUCGGCUCAUCGCAUCCUGGGGCUGUAGUCGGUCCCAAGGGUUGGGCUGUUCGCCCAUUAAAGCGGUACGCGAGCUGGGUUCAGAACGUCGUGAGACAGUUCGGUCCCUAUCCGUCGUGGGCGUAGGAAAUUUGAGAGGAGCUGUCCUUAGUACGAGAGGACCGGGAUGGACAUACCUCUGGUGUACCAGUUGUCGUGCCAACGGCAUAGCUGGGUAGCUAUGUGUGGACGGGAUAAGUGCUGAAAGCAUCUAAGCAUGAAGCCCCCCUCAAGAUGAGAUUUCCCAACUUCGGUUAUAAGAUCCCUCAAAGAUGAUGAGGUUAAUAGGUUCGAGGUGGAAGCAUGGUGACAUGUGGAGCUGACGAAUACUAAUCGAUCGAAGACUUAAUCAA
rnacentral:rRNA from 1 species